rnacentral:rRNA from 1 species
AUUGAACGCUGGCGGCGUGCCUAACACAUGCAAGUCGAUCGGUAACAGGUGUAGCAAUACAUGCUGACGAGAGGCGGACGGGUGAGUAACGCUUGGGAAUCUGCCUUUUAGUGGGGGACAACCCGGGGAAACUCGGGCUAAUACCGCAUACGCUCUACGGAGGAAAGCCGGGGACCGCAAGGCCUGGCGCUAAUAGAUGAGCCCAAGUCGGAUUAGCUAGUUGGUAGGGUAACGGCCUACCAAGGCGACGAUCCGUAGCUGGUCUGAGAGGACGACCAGCCACACUGGGACUGAGACACGGCCCAGACUCCUACGGGAGGCAGCAGUGGGGAAUAUUGGACAAUGGGGGAAACCCUGAUCCAGCGACGCCGCGUGGGUGAAGAAGGCCUGCGGGUUGUAAAGCCCUUCGGUGGGGAAGGAAAGCCUCGACCUAACACGUCGGGGUAUUGACGUAACCCA